AUUGAACGCUGGCGGCAUGCCUUACACAUGCAAGUCGAACGGCAGCGGACCUUCGGGUGCCGGCGAGUGGCGAACGGGUGAGUAAUAUAUCGGAACGUACCUUUCAGUGGGGGAUAACGUAGCGAAAGUUACGCUAAUACCGCAUAUUCUGUGAGCAGGAAAGCAGGGGAUCGCAAGACCUUGCGCCGAUUGAGCGGCCGAUAUCAGAUUAGCUAGUUGGUGAGGUAAAGGCUCACCAAGGCGACGAUCUGUAGCGGGUCUGAGAGGAUGAUCCGCCACACUGGAACUGAGACACGGUCCAGACUCCUACGGGAGGCAGCAGUGGGGAAUUUUGGACAAUGGGCGCAAGCCUGAUCCAGCCAUGCCGCGUGAGUGAAGAAGGCCUGG
rnacentral:rRNA from 1 species